rfam:Opisthocomus hoazin contig22295, whole genome shotgun sequence.
ACAAAGGUGUUUUUUAACAUCACAAAAAAUUAAGAUUAAAGGACAA